rnacentral:rRNA from 1 species
AUGCCGAUGUUGCAUCGAGUGCGGCCUCGCACGUCUGGCGGCGAGGACCGCCUUAGCGUGCUCCAUGACGAUCUGAUCCUCCUCAUAGUAAGCAGGCUGGACACCCGAACAGUGCUCUCCAUGGCCGUCCUCGCCAGGCGAUGGGUUCGCAUCCCCCACGAGCUGUCGGUGCUCGACUUCAGGGUGAGCGACAUACUCCCGCCUGAGUAUGAACGGACCGUCGCCCUUCGCCGGCGCAACUUGCCGCGUGACGCCACUUUGGCCGGGACACUCGACGGUCUCAAGGCGCGAUGCGAGAUCGACACAAUCAGGUCAUUCACCAACGGAAUCACGAGCUUCUUGCAAGCAGAAGGUGGCCAUGACCGGCGCGUGAAGACCCUCCGUCUUGAGUUUUUCCGGACAUACAAUAGCAUUUGUGUGGACCGCCUGAUCAAUGUUGCGGUCGGCGCAUGGGGGGUGGAAGAUCUGGAGGUUGUCGUCAGGCAAUCGUCCGGCUAUGAUCAGAUGCGGACAUACAGCUUCCCCCACAACUGCCUGAACCUCCGGUCUUGCCUGCGCAGCCUGACGUUGGGCAAGUAUUGUGCACUGCCACCGCUGCAUAGCUACAACACGCUCACCAAGCUCAUCCUGCGUGACAUGUCAGCUUCCACGCCCGUUGCCAUGUAUGAGAGGGUGUUCAAAGACUGCACCGGGCUGCAAGUGCUUCACCUCAUGUUCUGCUGCUGUGCACAUACCACUCUAGUGGUGGACGCGUCGUGUUCACAUAUCAGGGAACUCGUCCUUGAAGAGUGCUCGUUCUUUGUGAUCGAGCUGCGCGACCUCCCAAUGCUUGUCCGCCUGGCGUGCUGCCUAACCGACACUUCAAAGAUUCUAUUUGGCUCAGUUCCAAGCCUCAUGGACACUAACCUCUCAUUCUCUCUAGAGGAUGAUAGUAAAGUGGUGGCACGGUGGAUAGAUGAGUUCGACUCGUUCCUCGGUAUGUCCCCCACCAUGACGAACCUUGUCAUCCGAUUUAUUGGGCGGAGAACAUGGAUUCGGCCCAGUCAUCUAGAGAGGAAGUUGCCGCACCUGAAAAAGCUCCUUGUCGCUGACAUGCCUUCAAAUUGGGAUAUCUCAUGGACACGUGGCCUCCUCAUGGCCUCGACAUUUCUCGAGGUCUUGCACAUCCACGUGCCCCACUCAGAAACGGAGCCAGAUUGCCUGCGCGGGAUGAAUUGGUCGAAAUCCCGCAAUGAGCUUCGGCACCAUCACCUCAAGGAGCUGGUCGUGAUUGGAUUCACGCAGCGUAACAUAUGGCUUUUGAAGUAUGUUGUGAGGGUGUGCACAUCGUUGCAACGCAUUGUUUUGCUGAAGGAUGGCCAUGUUCGGUACAUCGGACUCUGGGAUUGGCGGAUGGUCGGGCAGCAAACAUGUCCAUGGAGCGAUGAUGAGAAAAUGGUGGUGAGAAGAAUGAUGAAAAAAUUUGGGCUCAGGCCUCUUCCUGAACUGAUCUUGGGUUAA